ACAUCCAGCGAACUUGGCAGAGAUGCCUUGGUGCCUUCGGGAACGCUGAGACAGGUGCUGCAUGGCUGUCGUCAGCUCGUGUUGUGAAAUGUUGGGUUAAGUCCCGCAACGAGCGCAACCCUUAUCCUUUGUUGCCAGCGAUUCGGUCGGGAACUCAAAGGAGACUGCCGGUGAUAAACCGGAGGAAGGUGGGGAUGACGUCAAGUCAUCAUGGCCCUUACGAGUAGGGCUACACACGUGCUACAAUGGCGCAUACAAAAGAGAAGCGACCUCGCGAGAGCAAGCGGACCUCAUAAAGUGCGUCGUAGUCCGGAUCGGAGUCUGCAACUCGACUCCGUGAAGUCGGAAUCGCUAGUAAUCGUGGAUCAGAAUGCCACGGUGAAUACGUUCCCGGGCCUUGUACACACCGCCCGUCACACCAUGGGAGUGGGUUGCAAAAGAAGUAGGUAGCUUAACCUUCGGGAGGGCGCUUACCACUUUGUGAUUCAUGACUGGGGUGAAGUCGUAACAAGGUAGGCGUAGCGAG
rnacentral:rRNA from 1 species